rnacentral:rRNA from 1 species
AUUGAACGUUGGCGGCAUGCUUUACACAUGCAAGUCGAACGGUAACAGGCCGCAAGGUGCUGACGAGUGGCGAACGGGUGAGUAAUGCAUCGGAACGUGCCCAGUCGUGGGGGAUAACGCAGCGAAAGCUGCGCUAAUACCGCAUACGAUCUAUGGAUGAAAGCGGGGGACCGAAAGGCCUCGCGCGAUUGGAGCGGCCGAUGUCAGAUUAGGUAGUUGGUGGGGUAAAGGCUCACCAAGCUAACGAUCUGUAGCUGGUCUGAGAGGACGACCAGCCACACUGGGACUGAGACACGGCCCAGACUCCUACGGGAGGCAGCAGUGGGGAAUUUUGGACAAUGGGCGCAAGCCUGAUCCAGCAAUGCCGCGUGCAGGAAGAAGGCCUUCGGGUUGUAAACUGCUUUUGUACGGAACGAAACGGUCCGGGCUAAUACCCUGGGCUAAUGACGGUACCGUAAGAAUAAGCACCGGCUAACUACGUGCCAGCAGCCGCGGUAACAC